AAGUCGUAACAAGGUUUCCGUAGGUGAACCUGCGGAAGGAUCAUUAGCGAAGUUCGGAAUGCAUGUUCGAUGUUGAUGCUGCCCAGCAACGGGAUGUGCUCGCUCGGAUGUGUGUCCCUUCUCUAUCCACCCCAUUGUGAACCAAGUGUGUGAGCCGAAGAGAAAUCGGACGCUCGCAUGCAAACCUUUAACAUACCCCAAUAAAGUAUCAGAAUGUACCUUGCGUUAACUCGCACAAAUAUAACUUUCAACAACGGAUCUCUUGGCUCUC
rnacentral:misc_RNA from 1 species